ACCCCCUACAAAGAUAUGUCUGUGGUUCCCUGUCUGUGGACAUCUAUGAAUUGAAGGCAAAGAAAUGCAGCCUUAGGGAAGUUGGAGCUAGCUUGCUCCCUGAAGGCUCAGGAUCCACCACUUCACUUUG
ensembl:snoRNA